UUACCCAAAACGAACAUUUGCCAUAUAUUGAUUUAAGACGAAGAAGAAUGAACAGAUUGAAUGUGUGUACCUUGUUUUCUGCCACGGCUGUGUUGGAGAAAACAUCUGCCACUAAAGAUGCUACCUGGGAUUUUGCAACCUAAACAAAGUGUUCACAA